UACGUAGGGUGCGAGCGUUGUCCGGAAUUACUGGGCGUAAAGCGUGCGCAGGCGGCUUCUCAAGUCAGGGGUGAAAGCCCAGAGCUCAACUCUGGAAUUGCCUUUGAGACUGAGUGGCUUGAGUACGAGAGAGGUGAGUGGAAUUCCCAGUGUAGAGGUGAAAUUCGUAGAUAUUGGGAAGAACACCGGUGGCGAAGGCGGCUCACUGGCUCGUAACUGACGCUCAUGCACGACAGCGUGGGGAGCAAACAGG
rnacentral:rRNA from 1 species